UACGUAGGGUGCGAGCGUUGUCCGGAAUUAUUGGGCGUAAAGAGCUCGUAGGCGGUGUGUCGCGUCGGUCGUGAAAACUUGGGGCUUAACUCUGAGCUUGCGGUCGAUACGGGCAUCACUGGAGUUCGGCAGGGGAGACUGGAAUUCCUGGUGUAGCGGUGGAAUGCGCAGAGUAUCAGGAGGAACACCGGUGGCGAAGGCGGGUCUCUGGGCAGUAACUGACGCUGAGGAGCGAAAGCGUGGGGAGCGAACAGG
rnacentral:rRNA from 1 species